CAGAGAGUUCUUCAGGGUCCUGCAAUGUCAUCUCGGUGGUGAACAUCAACAACAUUUUGUUAGUAUGUGCAGAAGUCUUGAGUCUUACUAGGUAUUUUGUUCAAUAAGAAGGUCUUCUAGGACAGAAUAUGACAUUGGAAGAGGAGUUUCUUGAAGGAUCAAACCCUAAAGACAUUGGACCUCUUUCUUUGGGAAGAGUUGAGACACAUUCCUCUGUCAUAGCUAUAAGGUUUUGGAAAUCAUUGUUUUAUUUUUCCUUUGUGAACUUCAAGUCAUUUGGUCAUUUGGUCUAGGAAACAUCUUAACAGGUUCACAUAAGGAUCUGAAGCUGGAGAGUUCCAUAAUGGCCAUCCGCAGGCUGGAGAGCUAGAGGAGCCAGCAGAAGCUGGAGCCUCAGGAGCCUCAGAAGAGGAGGAACUAAUGAUGCUGCUGCAGUCCAAGGCCAAAGGCCUGAUAUUGCUGGAGAAUUGCUGGUGGGAGACCUGCUAAAAGAGUGAAGAAGCUGGAAUCUGAUGUCCAUAGGUGAUGGUGGUAGAUAGAGAUGCACCUGCUCAAGAAGAGUCAAAUCUGCAUCUGCUGCAGCUCCCCCUUCAGAUUUUUGUUCCAUCUGGACCCCCAGCCACUGGACAGCCAUGCCCAUAUUCAGAGCAGAUGUCCUUCCUUGGUUUGUUGUCCUACACACCAAUCAUCAUUGAAAAGACUCUCAUGGACAUAGCCAAUCAUAGGGGUUCCCUAGGUGUCUGUCAGUCCAAUCAAGUUGACUAUCCUGAUUAACCAUCACACUUACCUACACAGAGGGAUACUUAGUCAUUAAGAAGACCAAAAAGAGGAAUGUGAAAAGACCCAAUUGUUGGAAGAAGAAUGGAGUUGUUAGGAUGAAAUGAGACCAUAGCUGUGACUAUCCUUUGGAAGGAAAUGCAGGAGAAAAAUACCAGAGGUGACAGUGAUGUUGGAUCCAUGGAUGAGAAGCCCACAGAGACAGAGGGCAACUAUAUUUUCCCGCUGAGAAGCUGAGCUCCACUGAAGUCAAACAAUCUGCCCAAGGUCACUCAGCCAACGUUCUACAGCACCAGUGUCACCAAAGAGACACUAUAUUCUGAAAGCAAUCCUGCCAAGGGCCAGGAAAUGGACAUUUUACACAAUUGCCUUGGAGAAGUUAAAAAAAAAACAGAUUUCCAAAUGCAUUAUCAAUAAGUAGGACAUUCUGAUCCUGAGAUUGGAAAUGGAGAAGACAUGGAACACUACCCCAGGAGCCCCAGCCCCUCCAGACUGGACCUGGGCGUGGACUGAGACUGGGAGCCACUGCCCUCUGCUGUACUAAGAGGAAAAUGGAAAUUUGGGAAGAGAAACAGAUACCCAGAGAAGGCCAUAUAAAGACAGAAAGAAGCAAGGACUGGAGUGAUACACAGGCAGAGGUUGGAGAGAUGUGCUGUAAACCAACAGCUGCUGAGGACUGUUAACAACUACAUCCUCAUAAACCAGGAAGAAGCAAGUGAGGAUUCUUCCUUGGAUCUUUCAAAGGGAGCAUCGCCUGGCUGUUAUCCUGAUUUGGGACUUCUAGCUUCCAGAACUAUGUGAAGAUAAUUUCUGUUGUUUUAGGUCACACGGAUACUAUGAUGGCAACCCUAGGAAAUCAGUAGAGGCCAAACCUUGGUUCAUCUGUGAUGCUGCCUACAGUGUACCCCAUGCUUCUCCUAUCCUGUGAGUUGUUUCACCAAUGGCUCAGUCUCAGUUGUAAAUCUGCCUCCUAAAGUCCCUAUUCCGGAGGAGAAAGACACCCAGCUGAAGAUGGACCAGCCAGCACCAUGUUCCUUCCCGUCUCUGGACCUAAAUGAUAAAGAGAAACUGUUUUACUUCCCUCUGCUCUCCAUUUUAUGCUCAUUUUUCCUGGUUUAGUUAGACCCUCAGGGUUAACAUGGAUUUUAAAAAUUCCUAGUCCCCACUGAAUGCCCGACUUCUCUUGGCAAUGUCUCUAGUAAGAGGUCAUCUUUCCCUCUCCCCUAGUUCAACUCCUCUGAGAUCGCAAGAAUAUCUUAUUGCCCCUUCCUUCUCCCUCUCACCCUUCCAUGGAUAUUCAUCAACUACCAGCUCUGUGCAGAGAGCAAAAGACUGAGCCCCUACCCAUAUAUUUGAUGCUAUAAAGCUCUUCCUUUGUCAGCCUCUGAUCUGCUGUCAAGGCAAGCCAAGCCUGUUGGUGGUCUAGGCAGGCAGGAGAAUUGUGGUGGUGAACUUGUCACUACUCCCCUUCAAGGUCAAUCAUGUCCUGCUCUCACAUCUAGACCAGUGUAGGCAUCAGGAAAGGAAAAACGGUUGAGAUGGCAUCUUACUCCUCUUUAAUCAGUCUGGGUUGCUGUAGGUGGCCUCCAAACCCAUUUUACAAGGCAAUUAAUGUUUAAAACCCUCCAACCAUGAGAGAAUUGGCCACCUCUAUGCUGUAUUUAUCUCCAAAUCAAAUUAAGUAUCUGAUGUGUGUUCAGAAGGGAUUGCUUUUAUUAUAUGGGACACACAUUGUCACAUGAUGUUGAAGAGUGUUAUCACACGUGUAUUUGCCAAAAUGCAAUAUAUGUAAUUAUAUAUUUCAUUGUAUAAGAAAUAAAAUCUUUGGCAGGGUUACCCAAUGCAUUGAAUAAUCUGAUGACAUUUUAUGGACAUUUUGGAGCUGGCAGAAACUUUGUAAUGAUCUAGCUUUCUCAUUUUUAUGACAGAGGAAACAAAAGUAGAAAGAGCUAACUUACCCUGUCCCACAGAGAGCCAGAGACUGACGGGAGAAUCACACUCACAUCUCUGGCUUCUUCCCAGUGGCCUGCGGGGAUGUAUUCCAUUUGUGGAUGAGACUCCUGAAGCUUUUGAAAAGCGAAACCUUUGAUGGACAGCCAAGGUCAUGUGACUGGUGUUUUUAUACAAUAUGGGAAGGGCACUUUAUUUGUUCUUGGAGAUAGACACCUUGAAAGCUGGAUAGAGCUAUGCCUACUAGGUGGAGAGAUGAAUGACCUUCAGGAGCUCUUCCAGCUUUUUGGAACGAGGAAAGCUUCCUACAGGACUGGAGGAGUAGGAGAGUGUAAUGUGAGAGACCCCUGGACCAGAGUCACCUUGGCGUCUUCUGACAUGCAGCGUGUCUGAGUCAUAAACUCUGGACUCAUCUCAGGGCUGGGCAGGGUUUUCAAAUCAUUUGCCACUCCCUGUCCUAAUGACUGGAACUUUGGAACACAUCUGUGAGAAACAGAGCCGCCCGUUGGUGGUAAGCAGAGACGUCACCAGCUUGCAAGCUAAGCUUCAGUGUCCCCUGAGAAUGCAGCCAGCUGGCAGCAGUGCAGAAAAGUGGUAAACACAUUGAGCUUUCUUUAUCAGCUGUGCCACGUACAUGAUGUGACAGCGGACUGGCUCUCAGGGUCAAGGCCAGCAGGGCCACUGAGGCUUUGUGUUAGCAGUUUGUCACUGCUGCUCAAUUUUCUCUGCUCUAUGCUUUGGCUCAAAGGUGGGUACUAGCCAUAGGCUGCUACUGCCUGGACCCCAGCCCCAAACCCACUGGAACAGGAAAGAGAUCAGCUUUGGAGACUUAGACUCUCGGGUAGCCCCUUAUGGUGGGAUGGGUGAAUGCCUUGAUUCCAGAAGAAUCCAGGGCUAGAAAAAGGAACUGAGAGGAAGUAUUGAAGCAGGCUUCAGGGCAGAGCUCUGACCCUACCCUGACUCAGAGAAGCCAUCCUGAUGUUGCCUUUCUUCCACACACAUGUGGUGGUUUAAUGCAAUGGAAUUUAUUGUGGAUAAUGGAGUUUCAAGCUCCUAUGGCUAAUGAAUGAUUUCAAACGUGGAGAAAGAUUUAUUAAAUAAGUCAAGCAUACGCCUCUGUGAGAAGAUGAC